UGUGCAACUUAAAACAUAGCAUAUGCAUAUCACAAACAUGAAGGCAAAUAUCCUAAAUAUCUAAAAGAAUUAAAAAUGGUUGCCUCUGGAGAGAAGAGUAGUGCAGAAGCCUGUUGCUUUUUGCUUAUGAACCUUGUAGAACUAUUUGACUUUUUAAAACCAUGUACUCAUAUUAACUGAUCAAAUUAAAAAAUUAACCUUAAUUUGUGUUUAACUGCUUUCAAGUCUAUACAGAUCUCAAAAUUGGGCAUAAAAUAGGUUCUAAACAAUGCCAUGGAAAAUUACUAUCCUAACAAUUUAGUACUGUUGAUAGCAUAACUUGAAAAAAUAUUAUUUUUCCCAAAACAGUUACUGAUACAAUUGUGAACAGAACUUUCACUUCCCACUCCCAGUCCACCACUGCAGGUUGGAAAGCAGUUACUGCUGUUGUUACCUGACAUUUUCUGAGUUUGAUAUCUGUGAUAAUUUUGCCACUUGGCAACCGGCAACAUAUGACUGACUUGGUGAACUAACAGGUAGAAUAGGUCAUCUGGAGAAAAAAAUCUUAGUAAUAAGCAGCAUGUAAUGUUCAAAAGGAAAAAUAUGAAAUUAAUCAUCAAGUAAUUAGAGAAAAGAUUUACAAAAAAUAAGGGCUGAUGAAUACACAUUUCUGUGCAGAUUCCAGUCUAUACAAAGUAACGAGGUAGUAAUUUAUCAUUCAAAAACUAUUAGAGAUUUUUGUCUUAUUUUAGCCACUCCAUUCCAAUCAAAAGGCUACAGACAUUCCUAAAAGGACCUACGACCAGAGUUAAGAAUGUCAACACCAUUUGACAGGGCACAAAUGUUUCCAAACAUACAGUUCAUAUUAAUACUAGGAAGUGUGAGGGUAGAAUAUAAGGUAGAAUUGCAGAAUGUUUACACAUUGAUUCAAAGGUUUGUUUUUUUAACGGAAACCACUUAAAACAACUCCAUCAAAUUUUGCUGAAAAACUGUGACCUAAACUGGUAUUGCUCCAUACUAUUGCAUUUAACUUUGGAGAUACUCAGAUCAUAAGGAUAAAUGCUCUGAAGAAAUUCCUUUUGGCAGCUGGUAAUCAAAUCUAACCUUUCAGAAAACAUACUUUAUGUAUAAAAAGAAGGCUGUUUUAUGAAAGCUUACAAAAGAAGAAACUGCCUGAACCACACUCCCAUCAUAUUCGGCCAUGUGUUCUCUCAUAAUAAAGUGUGCCUUUUCUUUAAAAUAGCACUUCCCAAACUAUGGUCCAAGAACCCCUGCGAUCUUUUCAAGGAAUCCAGAGUCCUCCCUUUCCCAAAAACAAAUGCACAUAUAGCCAGAUUUUCUUCAUAUAUUUCAAAUAAAAUGACAUACUACAAAACACUGAAUGCAGGGCAGGUAAGAGAAUCCAGCCCUAAGUCAGAAAUUGGAAAUAUGCAAAAAUCAAGACAAUGACACUCUUCUUACUAAAUUAGUUUGGAAGUUAACUUUUAUAUAAAUGUUACAUUAACAGAUGAGAUUAUCAUUAACAAAUAUUUUUAACGUUUAUCAUUUGAUUUUCUAGUAUGCUAAAUAAUGAUAUAAGCCAUAUAAACAAAAGCUUUGACAUUCUCAAUUUUUAAGAGUGUAAGGGGUCUUGAAAACAAAAGUUUGAGAAUUGCUGCCUUAAAGCUUUUCACAGUUGCAAUUUUACGUUCAGAUUUUAUAACUUUUCUACCUGUAAUCUCCACAAAAUUGGAACUUUCCCAUUUUGCUCAUCAUUGAAUUCCAAACGCAGAAAAUUGUGCUUGCAGAAUAGGCAGACAAUAUUUAAGAACUGAAAACUGCUGCCUUUUCUCCUAUAAAUCAAAAUGACUUGAAAAUAUAUUUUUCACCUUAAAAUCCUGGAAAGUUCAUGUAACAAAUCAACACUAUUCCCGCUUCCUAUUUUUGCUAUCCUGGUGAUAAUGGUGUUGACGAUUUCCUAUGUGAAAUGCUUUUCCAGUACGAAAUAAAAAUGAUUGGCUACAGAAAGACCUUUAAGAUUUUACUAUAAAUGUAUGAGGUUUCUCAAAGUGUUGAAUGUAAACGGAACAUUUUUUAAAAAUAAGGUGCAGUAAUAUUUACCUUUUUGGUCUCCUUAUAAAUAAUAAGUUCCUGAAAAAAAUCAUUACUUUGAGGACAAAAUUAUCUUAAAAUAAGGAGUUUUAAAAGACAGCUUGGGCUAACAUAUAUGUAUAUAUACACACAUGGACAUGCACACACUGAAUUAUUUCAUAGAAAAAGUAUUUUGGGGAUAUUUAGAGUUAUAUUGGAUUCACUGCCCUUUGAGUGCUUAGGCUAUUUCCCUCAAUGACUCUGCUCUGCAUCUAUCUAUAAGAUGAAACUUGACAUGGUGAACUCAAGUUUUCAAAGGACUUCUUGCUACUGAUCUGUUUUCAACUCACUACUUUUUUGCUCUACAUAUUACUAUAAUUGUGAAACAGAAAUCAAAGAAUUAGGGUGUUUGGCACCUUUUUAAAAGCAGUAACCAAUUUUAUUUGCAAUUUGCUUUAAGAGACAGAAAUAAACCUGAUUGUGUAUAUAGUUCUUUGUAGUCAUUAGUAAGUUGUAGCCUGACCAGUGUUACAGGGAUCUGAGAUAAGCAUAGUACAACUAGUAUAUCCAAAUGUUAAAAUACUGUUUUACUAAGAUCUGGUUCAUUAUCAAGCUCUCAUAAUGCAUUUAAGUUUGGUUCAUAAACUUUAAAAACACAGCUACUAUUAAAAACUUAGGAACAACAGAGUAAAGUUACCUGUUGACGGGUAGUUUUAUGUUAACACACACGUUAACAUGGAGUGGCUUCACUUUUCACUCCAUUUUCUUCUCUAUUGCUGGUGUUAUUGUUCUUAAAUUUUUCACAUGUAUUUACUAUAGCCUUAGCUAUUCUAUAAAGAUUUCAGAUUAAUUCACCCACAAUAAACUACAAUUAGUAAGUCAAGGGCUGUUGGUAGAUGAUAAUCCCCCAAAAGAUGUCUACACCCCAAUCCUUGGAACACCUGUAAAUAUGUUAGGUUACAUGGGAAUAGGGAAUUAAGGUCACAGAUGGAAUUUAAGUUGCUCAUCAGCUGACCUGAAAAUAGGAACAUUACCCUGGAUUAUCUGGGUGGGGUCAAUGUAAUCACAAGGGUCCUUUGUAGUAGAAGAGGGAAUCAGAAGGGAAGGUCAGAGAUACUAGAGAAAGACUGGGUCCCACACUGCUGGCUUCAAAUAUGGAGGAAGGGAUCAUGAGCCAAGGAAAUUGGGUGCCCUCUAGAAGCUAGAAACCAAGGCGCAAAAAAAAAGGAAUCUCCCUGAAAGUCUCCAGAAAAUGAAUGCAUCUUGCUGACACCUUGAUCUUACCCAGUGAGAUCUGCACAGACUUCUGAUCCACAGAACCGUAAGAUCAUAAAUUUGUGUGGUUUUAAGCCACUACACUUGUAGUAAUUCAUCACAACAGCAAUAGAAAACAGGAAUAGAGAAUUAGGAUUUGUGAUUAAUAUAAAUUUUGCAAAUCCGUACAAAAGAACUUACAGGUUUUUGGUUGUGUCUUCUGACUCACACUGAACAGUUGGGUUGCUCAGUGAAGGGUUUCAGACAGUUCAGUGGAACGCAAAGAAAGAGGGCUAUGAAAGGUAUAUAUGAUCAUCAGGCUUUUGCUUCUUUUUCUCAUUCUCAAUUCUCAGAGCACAAUUGCUAAGCACAUGGACUUUAGAGAAAAGAACUGAGCUAGGUAGGAUUCCUGCUCUGACAACAGCAGGGUAACCUGGCCAAGUUUCCCAACUUCUCUAAGUUCCAGUUUCCUCAGCUCUAAGCCUUCACCUUUGAGUUGACCAAUGUUUAUACUAAGUGCUCAAAACCAGGGAUGCCUUACAGAGGGCUCAAGGAGGCUUUCUGAUUGCCACAAAGAUUACAUGGGGUGAACUUUACAGGUACUGAGAUGCCCUGGUACUUUUACCUAAUAGAGGUAUGCAUUCACUGUCUUAAGAUGAUUCUAAGUUUUUUUAAGUGUAAAACUUUUUUUAAAGAGCAGGUUUUUUCUUAAAACAGGAGAAACUGAAAGAUGAAAUUCAUGUAAUUCACUAGUUUGUGUAAGGCUGGUUGUACCUGGGACUGAGAAUGGCUUUGGAUCUACUACUCAUUGAAAAAUCUGCUCAUUUUCCCUUUUUUUCCUCAAAAGGAAAACCUCAAAUAGCUAAUAUGACCAUACCUUCCCUAUUCUCCAUAAAAUGUUUCAGUCAAUCAGCGGUUACAAGAUCUG
rnacentral:lncRNA from 10 species